AUGAAGUUGUGGUUGAGCUGGAUAUUCCUUGUUGUUCUUUUCAAAGGUGUGAGGUGUGAGGUGCAAAUUUUGGAGACUGGAGUAGGCUUGGUGAAGCCUGGUGGUUCCCUGAGACUUUCUUGUGCAACGUCCGGAUUCAAUUUCAAUGACUACUACAUGCACUGGGUUCGUCAGGCUCCAGGGAAGGGGCUAGAAUGGGUGGCCGAAAUAAGAAACAAAAAUAAUAAUUAUGCAACAUAUUAUGCGGCAUCUGUGAAAGGGAGAUUCACAGUCUCACGAGACGAUUCCAAAAGCAGUGUCUACCUGCAAGUGAGCAGUUUAAGAGCUGAAGACACUGCCAUUUAUUACUGUACAAGACACAGUAAUGGACCUUCUCUGAGUAUCAAGACAAAAAUCUCCCUGUAG